CCAUGCCGCGUGCGGGAAGAAGGCCUUCGGGUUGUAAACCGCUUUCGGCCGGAACGAAAUCGCCCGGGUGAACAUCCCGGGUGGAUGACGGUACCGGAAGAAGAAGCACCGGCUAACUACGUGCCAGCAGCCGCGGUAAUACGUAGGGUGCGAGCGUUAAUCGGAAUUACUGGGCGUAAAGCGUGCGCAGGCGGUUUCGUAAGACAGGUGUGAAAGCCCCGGGCUUAACCUGGGAAUUGCGCUUGUGACUGCGAGGCUGGAGUGCGGCAGAGGGAGGUGGAAUUCCACGUGUAGCAGUGAAAUGCGUAGAGAUGUGGAGGAACACCGAUGGCGAAGGCAGCCUCCUGGGCCAGCACUAACGCUCAUGCACGAAAGCGUGGGGAGCAAACAGGAUUAGAUACCCUGGUAGUCCACGCCCUAAACGAUGGCGACUAGUUGUUGGGGUAGCAGUACCUUAGUAACGCAGCUAACGCGUGAAGUCGCCCGCCUGGGGAGUACGGUCGCAAGAUUA
rnacentral:rRNA from 1 species